UGGGGAAUAUUGCACAAUGGGGGAAACCCUGAUGCAGCGACGCCGCGUGGAGGAUGACGGCCUUCGGGUUGUAAACUCCUUUUGUCAGGGACAAUGGUGAUUGUACCUGACGAAUAAGCCACGGCUAACUCUGUGCCAGCAGCCGCGGUAAGACAGAGGUGGCGAGCGUUGUUCGGAAUUACUGGGCUUAAAGGGCGCGUAGGCGGUGGUGUAAGUCUGGGGUGGAAUGCUACAGCUCAACUGUAGAGCUGCCUUGGAAACUGCAU
rnacentral:rRNA from 1 species